rnacentral:misc_RNA from 1 species
GGGGCAAGCGGGGACCUG